CGAAGCUCUCUCUCUCUUCUCUCUCUCAGUAGAGCUUUCUCUCUCCUAGGGUAUCCAUCGAUCCCUCGGUAGAUCGCCGGAUCCGAUCUUCCCCGGCCGAAAUCCGGCGACUGAUUCGGCAUCAUCGGCUUCCAAAUUCCUGCCGGCAGCGAUGUUUCUCGUCGACUGGUUCUACGGCGUUCUCGCCUCGCUGGGCCUGUGGCAGAAGGAGGCGAAGAUCCUCUUCCUCGGACUCGACAACGCCGGCAAGACUACGCUGCUGCACAUGCUCAAGGACGAGAGGUUGGUCCAGCACCAGCCGACACAGUACCCGACGUCCGAGGAGCUGAGCAUCGGGAAGAUCAAGUUCAAGGCGUUUGAUCUCGGGGGGCAUCAGAUUGCUCGCCGGGUUUGGAAGGAUUACUACGCGAAGGUGGAUGCUGUUGUGUACUUGGUGGAUUCUGCUGACAAGGAAAGGUUUGCAGAGUCGAAGAAAGAGCUGGACGCACUGCUGUCAGAUGAUUCGCUGGCCACUGUUCCUUUCCUGAUCCUGGGCAACAAAAUUGAUAUUCAUUAUGCAGCUUCAGAGGAAGAACUACGCUACAGCCUUGGCCUGGCCAGCUUCACCACCGGCAAGGGCAAAGUGAACCUUUCAGAUUCCAAUGUGCGCCCUCUUGAGGUGUUCAUGUGCAGCAUUGUUCGUAAGAUGGGCUAUGGUGAAGGUUUCAAGUGGAUGUCCCAGUACAUCAAGUAAUUUGACGGUGAGAAUGAAAAACCUGGGGAUACUGUCGCUUUUAUCUUUAUCUAGU
rnacentral:misc_RNA from 1 species